ACCAGAACAAUCAAGUUCAAAGCUCUCAUGGUUGACUGGAGGUACAACAGUAAUACUCCCUCCGUCCCAAAAUAAGUGACUCAACUUUGUACUUAUUUUAGUACAAAGUUAGUACAAACUAUAUAUUAUUUUUGGGACGGAGGGAGUAGUAUUUACCUCUACAAUCAUGCACCGUCAUGACUGCAAUAUAUUAAUUAUAUACCAAACCAGAUUACGAGGAAGUGGUCACUGAGGUGGAUUAAAUUUUUGUUUGGAUGUUUGUAGAAAAUCAAAGGAGGUGUGAGUUCGGAAGUAAUACCUGGACUACCUAUGGGGAGUUCUAUGGUUGACGCAGAGGGGAUUGUUGCUUCAUGUAUAAUCAGGCCGCUCAAUAGUUGUGGGUUAGUAAGAAAGAACAUUGAAGGCAAAUUACUAAAAACAUUACACAAAUUCCAUAUACCUGGACCCUCUUUGGGGAGUAUAUUAACAUUGGUGUCUUCACCAAGAGCGUGUUGGAGGCCAUUUGUCGCAUCCAUCUGUCACUGUCGGUCUUCCUGCUGUUUCUUCUUCUGAUAAGAUUCUCGUCUCUUUGUGUUCAACUUAUCCUUUUGUUCUUGGUACCCUUGCUCUU
rnacentral:lncRNA from 1 species